rnacentral:lncRNA from 1 species
UACAGUUUUUCUAUGCUAAACUCUGUCCUAGUCAGUUCUAGAGUGUAUGAAGAACCAAAUGAUGUAAUUGUAUGCGACCUGGCUGUAGUGGAACAAAUUUGACUCUAAAGUAUGCAGGCUCUAAUUUUCCUGUCUGGUUUUGCCCCCACAUCACCCAACCAACCAGCAGAGAUCCUCCUUCCCAAGAAACAGAUAAAGAAACUGAGGCCCAGGAAGGCUAAGAGUCCUGCCAGGAUUAUUCACCUUUCAAGCAGCCAAGCAAGCACUGGCUGUGAGAGAUGGCUGUGAGAGAAGAUUAAAACAAUUACAACUCACCCAGUUCACAGAUGCUGAGUAACUGAUCUCCUGCCCCACUAACCUUAACGACAGCUUUCUCUGGACAAGGGACUGAUUUCAGUAACUUUCUCCUGAUAAGAGACCAUCCUCCAUGGACUGGUUCUGGCCAGUUUUAGAGGCUGUGCCUUUACGAGGCUGAGUACCUUCAUGUCCCUGCUUCACUUUUUGAUGUGUAGGGCCUAAUUAUAAUACAUUUAAAUGUCAAGUCUCCACCCCAGAAUGAACAUGCAUGUUUAUUGAAUAUGCAUGUGUUAGGACCUCUUUUAUGAGUAUUCUCAUAAAAUGAUAUAGCUCCUCUGAUAUCCUAUUGAGUAUGUAUAUGUAGCCAACUCAUUUGGCUCAAAUUCCUGUCCUCUCCCUCCCUCCCUGGAAAUGCCUGCCUCUGGCCUUGGCUGUAGGCCACACUUCCCAGCCUGUCAUAAUGGCCACCUUGCAGACUGCAAACCUUUAUAAGAAAUAAAGCUCUCUUUUCUAAAUUUAUAAAAUUGUGUGAUUUUUCAGUUGAUCCUCUCUUUCUACACACACACACACACACACACACACACACAUGCAAUUUAUACAGAAGGAAAUCUGGAGAAUAU